UUUAUGUAUUUUGGAAAUUAACCCCUUAUUGGUCAUAUCAUUUGCAAGUCUUUUCUCCCAUUCAUAGUGCUGUCUUUUUGUUUUGUUUACGGUUUCCUUUGCU